rnacentral:rRNA from 1 species
CAGGACGAACGCUGGCGGCAUGCCUAAUACAUGCAAGUCGAACGCUGAAGCACUCUGCUUGCAGAGUGCGGAUGAGUGGCGAACGGGUGAGUAACACGUGGGAAAUCUGCCUAAGAGUGGGGGAUAACAUUCGGAAACGGAUGCUAAUACCGCAUAUAUUCUUGAACCGCAUGGUUCUGGAAAGAAAGACGGCUUUGCUGUCGCUUUUAGAUGGUCCCGCGGCGUAUUAGUUAGUUGGUGGGGUAACGGCCUACCAAGACCAUGAUACGUAGCCGACCUGAGAGGGUGAUCGGCCACACUGGGACUGAGACACGGCCCAGACUCCUACGGGAGGCAGCAGUAGGGAAUCUUCCACAAUGGGUGCAAACCUGAUGGAGCAAUGCCGCCGUGAAUGAAGAAGGUCUUCGGAUCGUAAAGUUCUGUUAUUAGAGAAGAACAAGUCGAGGAGUAACUGUCUCGACUUUGACGGUACCUAACCAGAAAGUCACGGCUAACUACGUGCCAGCCGCCGC